GUUAUGGGGGAGAACCCCCCGUAAAGUCAGAGGUGUAGGUGAGAGCAUAAAACAGACUCUGGUUUUGGGGUUAGAUGCUCGGGAACAGGGGGUUUCCUGAGGCUUGAUCACGCCUUUGCGUAUGCCAAGCCUCCUUCCUCAUGACCUUUGCCAUGGGCGGAAUUCCUCACGCUGGCCCCCGGCACUUAGUAUCUCUAAUUCUCUUGAAGAGAUCUCUGGUCUUUCCCAUUCUGUUGUUUUCCUCGAUUUCUUCGCAUUGAUCGCUGAAGAAGGCUUUCUUAUCUCUUCUUGCUAUUCUUUGGAACUCUGUAUUCAGAUCCUUAUAUCUUUCCUUUUCUCCUUUGCUUUUUCGCCUCUCCUUUUCACAGCUAUUUGUAGGGCCUCCCCAGACAGCCAUUUUGCUUUUUUGCAUUUCUUUUCCAUGUUUAUAUAUUUUCUGUUUUAGUAAUUUUACUGCAUUAGUUGCAACAUUUCUCACCUUUCCUCUUACAGGAGUCUAACCCAUCUCUUGAUAUCCAGUCUUUAGCCCCCAGCCAAAUGGAUUUCUGCAGUCCAAUUUGAAGCUCCCUCCAGGAUUCUUUUUUGUUCCCAAGUCAAGUUUCUUCAGGAAAUUAUACAGGAAUUUUCCUCAUUAUAUAGAAAUCUUUAGCUGAGAACAAUUUCUGGAGAGUCAGCUAUGAUCUGCCAGUAGCUAGCACUCGGUGGAGUGGGGAGCUAAGGGGGAAAUGAAAUCCAAAUUUAGCACCAAAGUAUCCACUGGCAAUCUUUCCAGCAUCUUAAUCACUUUCCCCACUUCUUUCCCUAUGCAGUCCUUCACCUAAAUGGAGAUUCUUACUAUUUCUGGAGCAAGCAAUUCACCUUGAUCUGUUUGAAAAAAGAUCUGCUUAGAAUACUACAUUCUCUUGUUAUUUAGUAUAUCCCCACAGCUAUUAGCUCAAAGAUGACCUCUUUCAUUGAAUCUUUCCUACCCGUCCCCACCCCCAGGUAAGGGGCUUUUGCAGUACAUGUCACUCUCAGAUGGCUAUUUAUAUGUCUACUUCCUCUACCAGAAUGAGAUCCCAGGGGGGCGAGCGAUUAUGUCUUGUGUGUGUGCCUGCUAAGUUGCUUCAGUCAUGUCUGACUCUGUGCAACCCUAUAGACUGCCAGGCUCCAGGAGGCUGGUGGACUACAGUCCAUGGGGUCACAAAGGGGUGGACACAACUGAGCAACUUAGCAUGCACACACAAAGGCUGAGGCGAGGAAAACUCCUAGGGAGCAAAAUGCAAGGAUGCAUUUACUCCCAGAUGCCCACUUACACCACCCUGAUCUGACAGUACUCCUUGAAUUUCACUCCCUAGGUGUCUUCCCAACCUUACAAUAGUCACAAGCUGCUCUUACCAUUUAUACUCAACAUGUAUUAGAGGUCCUAACAGGUAAACAGGUUAAGAAAAUAAUUUUUCAAAACCAGUGAGCAACACAGAGAACAGACUUAUGGACAUGGGAAAAGGGGAAGAGAGGGUGAGAUGUAUGGAAAGAACAUGGAAACUUACAUUACCAUAUGUAAAAUAGAUAGCCAACAGGAAUUUGCUGUAUGGCUCAGGAAACGCAAACAGGGGCUCUGUAUCCA
ensembl:lncRNA